rnacentral:lncRNA from 1 species
AAAAGGAGCUAUGGGAUUAUCAUCAACAGCUUCUAUGAACUUGAACCAGAUUAUGCAGAUCACUAUAGGAUGGCGUUCGGGAGGAGGUCAUGGCAUAUCGGCCCGGUUUCGUUAUGCAACACGGCAGAAAACGAUAAAUUAGCGAGGGGAAGGGAAGGCUCAGUUGAUGAAGUACAUGAGUGCUUGCAGUGGCUUAAUUCUAAGAAACCCAGUUCGGUUGUUUAUGUAUGCUUUGGAAGCCUGAAUACUUUCAGUGAUAGUGUGCUCUUAGAAAUCGCAUUGGGACUUGAGGCUUCACAACAGCAAUUCAUUUGGGUUGUCAAGAAGGAAAACAAUAAUCAAGAAGAGUGGUUGCCUAAAGGAUUUGAGCAGAGAAUGGAUGGCAAGGGACUUAUUAUAAGAGGUUGGGCUCCUCAGCUAUUGAUUCUUCAACAUGAAGCAGUUGGGGCCUUUCUGACUCAUUGUGGGUGGAACUCAAUCCUUGAGGGAGUGACUGCUGGGGUGCCAAUGAUCACCUGGCCGCUGUUUGCAGACCAGUUUUACAACGAGAAGUUGGUGACUCAGAUACUUGGU